rnacentral:rRNA from 1 species
UGGGGAAUAUUGCACAAUGGGCGCAAGCCUGAUGCAGCCAUGCCGCGUGUGUGAAGAAGGCCUUCGGGUUGUAAAGCACUUUCAGCGAGGAGGAAGGUGGUGAGCUUAAUACGCUCAUCAAUUGACGUUACUCGCAGAAGAAGCACCGGCUAACUCCGUGCCAGCAGCCGCGGUAAUACGGAGGGUGCAAGCGUUAAUCGGAAUUACUGGGCGUAAAGCGCACGCAGGCGGUUUGUUAAGUCAGAUGUGAAAUCCCCGGGCUCAACCUGGGAACUGCAUUUGAAACUGGCAAGCUAGAGUCUCGUAGAGGGGGGUAGAAUUCAGGUGUAGCGGUGAAAUGCGUAGAGAUCUGGAGGAAUACCGGUGGCGAAGGCGGCCCCCUGGACGAAGACUGACGCUCAGGUGCGAAAAGCGUGGGGCAGCAAACAGGAUUAGAUACCCUGGUAGUCCACGCUGUAAACGAUGUCGAUUUGGAGGUUGUGCCCUUGAGGCGUGGCUUCCGGAGCUAACGCGUUAAAUCGACCGCCUGGGGAGUACGGCCGCAAGGUUAAAACUCAAAUGAAUUG